rnacentral:rRNA from 7 species
GCCUACGGCCAUCCCACCCUGGUAACGCCCGAUCUCGUCUGAUCUCGGGAAGCUAAGCAGGGUCGGGCCUGGUUAGUACUUGGAUGGGAGACCUCCUGGGGAAUACCGGGUGCUGUAGGCU